GAUGAACGCUGGCGGCGUGCCUAAUACAUGCCAGUCGAGCGAACAGACGAGGAGCUUGCUCCUUCGACGUUAGCGGCGGACGGGUGAGUAACACGUAGGUAACCUACCUAUAAGACUGGGAUAACUUCGGGAAACCGGAGCUAAUACCGGAUAAUAUUUCGAACCGCAUGGUUCGAUAGUGAAAGAUGGCUUUGCUAUCACUUAUAGAUGGACCUGCGCCGUAUUAGCUAGUUGGUAAGGUAACGGCUUACCAAGGCAACGAUACGUAGCCGACCUGAGAGGGUGAUCGGCCACACUGGAACUGAGACACGGUCCAGACUCCUACGGGAGGCAGCAGUAGGGAAUCUUCCGCAAUGGGCGAAAGCCUGACGGAGCAACGCCGCGUGAGUGAUGAAGGUCUUCGGAUCGUAAAACUCUGUUAUUAGGGAAGAACAAACGUGUAAGUAACUGUGCACGUCCUGACGGUACCUAAUCAGAAAGCCACGGCUAACUACGUG
rnacentral:rRNA from 1 species